rnacentral:lncRNA from 1 species
GUUCGAGAGAGCUGAUGAUGAUCAAGAGGUAAGGGUAGGAAGGAACUAGUGGUCUGAUCCUUGAACUAGAGGAUGUGAUAACUGGGAUCCUCAGACGCAAGCGCUGAAGGGUUCCCAAGUUUUACACAUACACCCUCAAGUUGAAGAAAAAGAUCACAGCCAAGCCCUCGGGCGAGGCGGAUAAGGGUCGGCGGAACAGACAGGGUCGGACGAGGCGGAACCGGGGUCGGGCGGAUAGGAGGGGUCGGGCGAGGCGGACUUAGGGUCGGCAACUCACCUUCUUCCUGAAAGGAAAGCUUGGGGUCGGGAAGAGGCAAACUUGGGCGAGAGGUCUAAAGCUUCGAGCAAGGGCUAAGACCGGCAAAGCUCCGGCGGCGGCGCUGCUUCUUGCGGAUCACAAGAGAGCUCUACGCAGCACAAAGGAGCAAGCUGCUGGGUGACUUGGAGGAACUGAGAAGGAACUGGGAGAAGAACUUCUCAAGAACCGGGUGGGUAGCGCUAGGAGCUUGAGCAGGGAGCUAGAGAAGGCUAAGGCAACAAAGGCGGAGGGAACUCCGGCGAUGGGGGCAUUCCUUUUAUAGCUGCUGGAGCAAAGGAACGGAAACGU